GACGAACGCUGGCGGCGUGCCUAAUACAUGCAAGUUGAGCGCUGAAGGUUGGUCCUUGUACCAACUGGAUGAGCAGCGAACGGGUGAGUAACGCGUGGGGAAUCUGCCUUUGAGCGGGGGACAACAUUUGGAAACGAAUGCUAAUACCGCAUAAAAACUUUAAACACAAGUUUUAAGUUUGAAAGAUGCAAUUGCAUCACUCAAAGAUGAUCCCGCGUUGUAUUAGCUAGUUGGUGAGGUAAAGGCUCACCAAGGCGAUGAUACAUAGCCGACCUGAGAGGGUGAUCGGCCACAUUGGGACUGAGACACGGCCCAAACUCCUGCGGGAGGCAGCAGUAGGGAAUCUUCGGCGAUGGACGAAAGUCUGACCGAGCAACGCCGCGUGAGUGAAGAAGGUUUUCGGAUCGUAAAACUCUGUUGGUAGAGAAGAACGUUGGUGAGAGUGGAAAGCUCAUCAAGUGACGGUAACUACCCAGAAAGGGACGGCUAACUACGUG
rnacentral:rRNA from 1 species